rnacentral:rRNA from 1 species
CAAUAGCGUAUAUUUAAGUUGUUGCAGUUAAAAAGCUCGUAGUUGGAUUUCGGAUGGGACUUGCCGGUCCGUCGUUUCGAUGUGCACUGGCCAGUCCUAUCUUGUUGUCGGGGACUAGCUCCUGGGCUUCACUGUCCGGGACUAGGAGCUGACGAGGUUACUUUGAGUAAAUUAGAGUGUUCAAAGCAAGCCUACGCUCUGAAUACAUUAGCAUGGAAUAACACGAUAGGACUCUGGCUUAUCUUGUUGGUCUGUGAGACCAGAGUAAUGAUUAAUAGGGACUGUCGGGGGCAUUGGUAUUAUUUGACUGUCAGAGGUGAAAUUCUUAGAUUCGUUGAGGACCAACCACUGCGAAAGCAUUUGUCAAGGAUGUCUCCAUUAA